rnacentral:rRNA from 1 species
GAUUCGUCACACUAUCAUUAACUGAAUCCAUAGGUUAAUGAGGCGAACCGGGGGAACUGAAACAUCUAAGUACCCCGAGGAAAAGAAAUCAACCGAGAUUCCCCCAGUAGCGGCGAGCGAACGGGGAGGAGCCCAGAGCCUGAAUCAGCAUGUGUGUUAGUGGAAGCGUCUGGAAAGGCGCGCGAUACAGGGUGACAGCCCCGUACACAAAAGCGCAUGUGCUGUGAGCUCGAUGAGUAGGGCGGGACACGUGGUAUCCUGUCUGAAUAUGGGGGGACCAUCCUCCAAGGCUAAAUACUCCUGACUGACCGAUAGUGAACCAGUACCGUGAGGGAAAGGCGAAAAGAACCCCGGCGAGGGGAGUGAAAAAGAACCUGAAACCGUGUACGUACAAGCAGUGGGAGCACAGGUUUACCUGUGUGACUGCGUACCUUU